GAUGAGCUUUGAAAAUGCAAAUGUGCGCAGAUGUCGAAUCUUGUUGGGAAAAUCAUGGCCGCUUGUGAAUGUGGAAAGUGAUCCUGGAUUUUACUGUGCGAAUGGUGAUUGGAAUUUUAAUUAGUUAUUUGUAGCGAGAUUAUUCAUCAUGGUUCUCAAUGGUUCGCCCGGUAAACCAGAAGAAAAGAUGACAUCUCUAGGGCCUACUGGCCCAAUUGCCAGCAAACUUCCCACAUUGCUUGAAAAGGACAAGAAGGUCGCAAUCGAUGAGUCGAGGAAAGCGUUUUAUAACAGGAGAAGGAUACAGAUCGGUGGAAUACCGCGUGACAGCUCGACAAAGGAAUUGUCACAGACAUUGUUGAAAAACUUUGAUGUGGUGUAUAUUUUAGUUAACGAAAAAGGUUUUGCCCAUGUUUUAUUGAAAAAUACGGAGGAGGCCGAAAAAGCAAUGUCGUUUGUUAAAGGGAAGCUAUUUCGUGGAAAUAUGGUUGCAGCUUCGUUUUCUCAAGGCGAAUUCUUGGUGUUUGUGGGAAACAUUCCAUAUUCAUACAGCGCUUUGCAAUUUAAAAACAUUGUCAAACCAUUUGGUGAAGUUGAACGCGUCAUUCUAAUGAGAAGUGAGCUUACUGGCCAAAGCAAAGGCUACGGAUUUGUGGAAUUUACGUACAAGGCUGCUGUUGAAAAGGCCUUGAAAGAGCUUGGUACUGUGCACAAAGGCUUGAGGGUAAAUUUGGCGAACCCUGGUCUUAAUGAGUACUAUGAUUUGCAGUCACAGACUCUGUAUGUCAACCAGUUUCCUGCAAGCACCAAAAGUGAACAAAUUGAAGAGCUUUUUGACAAACAUGUCCAAGUACCAUUCUGCAAGAUUCCUUUGAACGAUUCCACUGGGAAACCAUGUGAUUUUGCGCUUGUUGAUUGCAAAUCCCCAGAGGAUGCGGAAAAGCUUUGGAAAGAACUCGACGGUAACAGUAUUAAUGGCGGAACGAUGCGGGUCUCAUUUAGCUCGCCUGGUCGACUGGCUGCAACCUCGUUUGGUGGACCCCAAUUUCAGGCAACAAGAACAGUCGUAGAGAGCACUGUGACCAACAAUCUUACGUCAUCAACUGAGACAAGACUAAAUAAUAACAAAGAUAUUGCAGCUCCUCCAAAGAAGCCAGAACAACCCCGAAACAAGAUAAGUACGGCAACCAAACAGCUGCCGCAGAGUUCACGCCCGGCUGCACUACUGCCUAGUCCCCCAGGGCCCAGACCUCCUGGCCCGAUCGACUUUAGAAGGAACCCUGGAACACCAACAAGGCCUGCACCGAACCGUCCAAUUCGAAAUAUGGGGUUUGAACAAAAUAUUGGUUUUGGUGCUAAUGUGGGUGGAAGAGGACAGAGAAUGCCAGGCCCAGGUGGACCCCCAAGAGCAGUGGGCCCCCAAGGUGGACCACCACGCACAGUUGGACCCUCAGGUGGACCUCCACGCACAGUUGGACCCUCAGGUGGACCUCCACGCCCAGUAGGGCCCCUAGGUGGACCACCACGGGGAGUCGGCCCUAGAGGGCCACCAAAUGUUCCUGUUCAAAGAGGAGGGUUUGGUCAAUCCAAUCCUAGGGGGCCACCUGCUCCCCUGGAUGGAAGGCCGCCUCGACCAGGAAAUUUAAGGGGAGAUUUACGUUCUGAAAGGCCACGGUUUUCUGGAGAUUUUGCGUCUGGACCUCGGGGUCCAAGGCCUAGGAGUCAGUUUCCUACCCAAGAUAGACCACUACUACACACUGACCCUCAGUCUAGAGGAAGGCAACCAGAAGGGCCCUUACCUAGACCACCAAGGCCCAGGGGGCCUUCCAUACCAGAUCAAAACAGACCCAAUUUUCCACCUGAAGACCGUUUUCCCUCGAAAGGUCCACAUAGUAGGCCACUGCCUGAUGAGCCACUUCGAAGGGAGCCUCCUUUUCACCCCAGAGGUGCUCCAGUUAGAGAAAAUAUUAGAUUUGACUCUGACAGGCGCAAUCCUCCCUCACGUGACAUCAAAGACGACAGACAGGUGCCAGGUCAAAGGAACAGGUCUUGGCACGAGCCAGAAGAGAUGGAGGAAAGACGGACUUGGAGAGAUGUACCGGAUAACAGAAGACCGAUUUGGGACAAAGGGCAAGAACGAGCUGACACGGAAAGAAACAGCUGGUCACGUGAUCGAGCUGAAUUGCAUAAUGAGUUUGAAGAGCCGGGUGGAUUUGACGGACAUCGAGGAUCGCAGCCUCACUUUCAAGAUCAGAGAGGUCGUCCUGCCAGGGAGCCUCCAAAUGAGCAACGGGAAGACCCGAAAAGAAGGCCUCCUUUUGACAGAAGACGAGAUUUUGAUGCACGUAGCGAAAGAGGAAGAGAGUCACGGUUUGGCAGCGAUGGACAUAGAGGGCCACCUCCUGGACAUGAAGAGCCCUGGACGCGGGAGCGUUCCCCUCAUCGAGGAUACCCAAGAGAACAUACACAAAAUGAGCCAAGAGAGGAGCCCAGACCUCCGUUCCAGCAAAGAGCGCCUUGGAAAGAGCCUCCUCCAAGAAAAGAUUACAAUGAACCUCCCACUGAUGAAAGGUGGCCGAGAGAAAGACAGGGUAUUCCUCCUGCAGGGCACUUAGAUGAACGAGGCCGUAAUUUUCAUGAUGAACUGAGAGGACAUGAAAGAGAGCAAUUCCCUAGAGACAUGGUGCAAAGAGAUGAUGCAGAUCGUUUCAGAAGGAAUGACAUCCGGGAACCUUUUCAACCCCGGUUUGAUGAAAGACAACGUUUACCACCUGAUCAACAUCCGCAACAACAACACCCACCUGAACAGCAAUUCCCACGUGAAAGACUGCCGCCGGCCAAUUAUGGACCAAACCAGGGACCUCCUGCUCAGGGCCAUUUUGGAAGUGGUCCCCCGCCCCAUGAUAGACAACCACUGCCGUUGCCUUCUCAGGUUGGUGACGUGCAGGAAAUGCCUAGAAAUGACUUUAUGUCUGGCCAUGGUGUUCCACCACCAAGGUUUGAAGCACCAACAGCUUUCCAAGAUCAGCGCUCCAGAGGUAUGUCUCAGCCACAGGACCAAAGAUUCCCCCAACCUCCAUGGCAGCAGCAACAACCAGUAGCACAACAAGAGCGCUUUGCGCCUCCUCUUGGCGAGCCAAAAUUCCCAGGACACGGGCCCAACACAAUGCCGCCGCAAAUGCAGGGCCCGCUUAGCUCUUCCUCUGCUCCAACGCAACUGUUUCCACAGCAGGCUCCAGGACAACCUGUUUCAUCUGCACCAACCUUGAUGCAACCAGUGCAAGCCCCGCCAGCCCCGCAGCAGCAAGGUAUUUACUUUCCAGCUCAAAACCAACCAACUGCCAGUUUUAUUCCUUCAUCAGCACCAGUGAUGACAACCACAACGACAAGUGUUGCGAUGUCCAUGCCAACUGUGCCAGCAAUGACUGCAUUGCAGAUGCCAUCAAUACCAGGGGCAAAUGUUUUGCCAGCUGCAGGCGCGGUCCAACUGCAACAGGGUGCUGCCUCACAACCAGGUGUGCCUUCAUUGCAGCAAGCCCCAGGAAGCGCUGCUACUCAACCAGUGGCAAGUCAACUAGAUACUUAUGUUGCAGCAGCGUCGGCAGCUCAGCAGUAUGCACAGUAUUAUGAGCAACUGGCAAAGCAACAAGAAGCAAUCAGCCAGCAACCUUCUGCUCCGGGCUCAAAGGACGCUGCGAAUUUGGCCGCGCAGGCAAAAGCAUAUGCGCAGUACUAUCAGCAAUAUUAUCAACACAUGCAGUCCAUUCUACAAAUGGCCAAAACCCAACAGGCGACACGCACAGCUCAGCAACAGCCAGGCUCCGUGACAGCUCCUGUCGUCCAGCCCCAGCCAUCACCAGCAACACAACCACAUCAACCUUCACAGUCUCAAAUAAAUCAGCAAAUUCCACCACAGCUGUCAGCACAGCAAGCAGCAACGCAACAACAAUACCCGUCUGCCUCGCAGUUUCAGCAAGGUGGCACUAUGCCUGGCAUGCUUGCCAAGUUCCAGCCCCAAAACGUGCCACCUCCCCCGUGGCAGGCCCAGCAGGCUGCUCCACAGCAGACACAUGCUGGUGCUGCAGUGUCACAGCAUGGCCUUGCUCCGGUACAACAGCAGCCAGGGGGUAACCUCCAACAGCCACCUGGUGCAAUCCCACAGCAACUGCAGGGACAGUACCAAAUGCAGCCGAGUUCUAUCCAGCCGGCAAUGCCUGUUGCCAGCGGUUUUCAGCAGCCUAACAACAUGCAACAACCGUGGCCUGUUCAGCAUAAAGAAAUGCCACCUCAGCGUCCAGCUGACAACCAGUUAUUGAGUUCGCGUCAUGUCGGGUUGGGUGGAGUCGCUCCGUUGCCAACUGUCGGCCAACAGCAACAGCAGCAGCGAGUAGAGUCACAAUUCCCAGGGCAACGCACGCAGCAGAUGCAACAAUUCCAACAGCCACUACAACAGCAGCAACAACAACAUUCUUUGCAGCAACAGCAUUCUGUUGGUAGCUAUGCUUUCCAACAGCAACCACUUCAUUCAAAGAACGCCCCACAACAAGGUGGUGCGCAGGUCGUGGGACAUAUUGGAGGGCCGCAACAACAGCAACAGCAGCAGCAGCCAGGACCUGCCUCGCAAAGUUCUCUGGCCCCCUCCGGGAUGAAUUGGAUGUACCCAGUGACGCAAGCAGCCAACAGUGAAAGGCCUCAACACUUUGCUAAACCUGUUCUGUACACAUCUUCCAGUGUUUAGACAAAACAGUUGAAAGAAUUAAUGAACUUGUGGAGGUAGCUAAGAAAAAGGCAGGCAUACCAUUGGAAACAAAGCUGAAAUCUCUUGGAUUGUCACUAAGUGGUGCUGAUAAGAGAGAAGAGCAGAAAGAGAUGGAAGAGAAGCUGGUUGCAAGAUUUCCAAAUGCCACAGAGACGUGCUUUGCAUGCAAUGACACUGUGGGAUCCUUGGAGACAGCAACAGACAAGAGAGGAAUUGUUCUGAUUGCUGGCACAGGGAGCAACUGUUUGCUCAUGAACCCUUGUGGAUCAAUGUACAAACGUGGAUGUGUAUGCUGGCUGAGGAAGGAUCAGUUUUUUGGAGGGCAGGACAGUGACAAUCUUUUUGAGUCAUCAUGAUAGAUUUGACAUCAGUCUAUUCCCUGUGGAUUACAUACGGAAAGAACUCUUUGCAUUCUUCAAUUUGAACAACAAGCGAGAUUUGUUGACAUAUAGUUCCUACAACAAAGGAAGGUACAUGAAGUUUUCUGGGAGGGUAUUGUAAAUAGAGCUGAAGCGGAUGAUGCACUUUGCUUACAUGUGCCUCAAGAAGCAAGGGUUGAACUAAGGAACACAUCAAGGCCUUUAUUCCAAAAAUGGAGUGUGGUACGCUUGAGAAAGACAAAAGUUUGAAAAUAUUGUGUUGGCUCAGUUGAAAAGCAAGAAGUUCUUGAAAAUUGCUUCUCGAAUAAUGUAUUUCUAAUGGUGCUGCAAAGCCAAUCAAAGAUUUUGUCUUGUUGAAGUACCGUCCGUGUGCAAAGGCAAAUUUGGUGCCACUUGGUGGACUGCAAAGAAGAUUGGGAUAUCUUUACCAGCCGAUCACGAUGUCAUGUUGGAAGAGUUUUUUCAUUACAAAGCAUAGAUAAUGUCGAACAAAUUUUUAUUGAAGAAUGUCAAAGAUUUUAUAAACUUGUAAUAAGAUUAAACAAUUUUAUUUUAUCUCGUUUUUGGCAAUAUCAUAUACAGUGGAAUCCCGAUAUAACGAACCCCGGAUAUAACGAACUUCCCGGUAUAACGAACUAAAUGUCUGGUCCCUUGGAUUCUGCCUAACAAACUCUUUCAAAAUUCUCUCGGUAUAACGAACCCCGGAUAUAACGAUAUCUCGUUAUUACGAACCAAAUUUUAUGUCUCUUCAUCACAACUACCCUAGAUAUAACGAACUUUCAUAAAUUUUUCAUCUGCAAUUUUUAUUUGUUUAUCCCCCGUAUUCAUUUAUCACUUUAUCUUUGGGGAAAUCAUUUUGUAAUCGGCAAAACAUUCUGAUGAUACAUUUCAAGCACUGGCUGAUAGAAUUGGAGCACGAAAUGAAAGUUUGAUUGCCUCAGAAAUAUCUGCAAAUGAGGACAUUGACACUAACGAAUACAUUCAUACAUAUGAUACAUUGACAAUGAAUGAUGACAAGGUUUUAUUGAAAACCCAGAUGGAGAAGCAGAAGAAGACAAAUAAAAAUGUGAAAUAUUUAAGCCGAAACGUCAUUCAGCCGACAACUAGAAAUGAAGUGAUACCAGCUUUGCCAAUCUCUUGGUCCCAAUAUCAUAAGAGGAACAUUAAGAUUUUCAUUUUCAAUGACGAACCAGUAGUAAUAUUUGAACUCAGCUUGUUUGUUUUGGAGUAAAAUCUACACAGAAGUUUGAGAUAGCCUAAACAAGCCCACCAAAGGCCUAAACAACAAAAUGAACUGCGAAAAGACCUAAACAAAGUUUUCUAUCGAAAUUUCUGCGAAAAGAUCUAAACAAAGUAGUAAUAUUUGAACUCAGCUUGUUUGUUUUGGAGUAAAAUCUACACAGAAGUUUGAAAUAGCCUAAACAAGCCCACCAAAGGCCUAAACAACAAAAUGAACUGCGAAAAGACCUAAACAAAGUUUUCUCCCGGUCUAACGAACUCCUGAUAUAACAAUGAUAUUUCGAGCCAUUUUCUGGUUCCCUUCAGAGUUCUUUGUAUCGGGAUUCCAGUGUAGUUCAUUCUUAUUUGCCACUUCAAUAUAAAAUAUUCACCACCUCUACAAACACAUGGCAUUCUAUUGAGGAACUGGGAAUUCUGGUCUGUUAUGUUCUAUUAUGAUAUUGGAAAGAAAUUGUAGAAUAUUUACAAUUUCGCAUUGUCAUUCCUGUUUGUCUUUCUUCCGCUUUUAUGGCAGAAUAUGGCAAACGAAACUUAUGAAAUAUUGAAACAUUUAGUAUACAUAUAUGAAAUAUUGUCCAUAAAUAUAUCGAAAUAUCAUUCGUUUGUUUAAGUUUCUCAUUUAUCAAUGAAAACCCAAUUUAUUAUUGAUUACAAGGAAGAUUUUUGAAAAAUUGGCAUGCCAAGGCUGGGGCUUAUUAUCAAUUUUCACUGCUUUGAAAAUUUCAUAGAAACGAGGAGACACAAAAUGCUGAAGCACUUUCCCUGUGACACUCGCCAAAGUAAAACAUUGGAUAAUUACCAAAGGUGAUUAGAAGUAUGUAUCAAGCUGUAGUUUGGAGAGUUGGUUCUUUGCAGGAAUUAUUGUGUGUUUGAUUGGUUUGAUUAGUAAGAACUCAUUGAAUUUGUCGAAAAUUUCUACUCUCUAUCAGUCCAUAAUUUGAAUUACCCAACGAGAGUGUUGGCAUUGUUUAAACUUACGACUCUUGGCAUAUAGGAAUAUAUCCCAAUUUUUCGUUUAAGAUGGAACACGUGCUAAAAUUAAAUAUGGGAAGUUUUUCUUCUUGACAAUGUAGACAUCGUUUGGAAGGUAAGAAUAGGCCUUUGCCUUAUACUUGCUGGCAAUUUGAUAGGAAACGCCUGAAAAAUUUAAUCAGGUUAGAGUGACGUACGUUACCCUCUAUGCUGUAAACCAAUGCAAUGUAUAUUAUGCUGUUAGACUGGCCCUGUCUGGCCGGCUCCAUUCCUUGGGCAUUUGUCCAUUUCUCGCAAUGGUAGGUCUUCUUCUUAUCGCCCUUCCUUUAGUGUAAAUGUCGUUGUUUUGGUUCUUAAUUAUGCUUCCCAAUUUAUCUGUAUCUUUAACAGCGUUUGUUUUGAAAUGUUCUCUGGCCUGUUUUUUAAAGUGUUUGUCGAUGACGCCGGAGAGUUUUCGUCCAAUGUUUAUGGAAAAGCUUUACUUGAAUCAGACUGUGUUGUGUAUAUGCAGACGUUUACUUUGUUUAAGGGAUAUAUCGUGUUGAUAUGAUGGUUAAUUAAUUUUUUAAGGUUUAGAUAUAUUCAGGGACCCUUUGAUAUCAACUAUUAAGCGUUGAUUUGUUGGUCCUCUAAAGAUAUGUUUAUUCUAUUAAGAGAAAUAAAUGUAAAGGAAAUCUCGGAUCGAAAGUUUAAGGCUAUUGGAAAAUUACUUUGACAUUUUUUGUGUUAGUUAUCAUG